rnacentral:lncRNA from 1 species
AUAGAGGUUAAGCAAAGAAUGUAAAAGAAGGAUGACCUGUCAGAGCUGUCAAAGAAAGCACCCCACUAUCCUGCACAUUGAAGGAAGAGAGAGAUUUAGAUCUCAAAAGGCAGAUAUGAGUGGUGUAGCAGUAAAGCGGGAGGAGAUUGUCAGCAGUGCUCUUGUCUCACUGGAAGCUGGUGACGAUACCGGGGCCGGUACAGAUUGUGCACUUGCAAUUGUGCCAGUUCAAGUAAAGGUGGCAAAUGGAAGCAAGUCUGUGUUAACCUAUGCGUUUCUCGAUUCUGGUAGCUCGGCAACAUUUUGUACGGAGAGACUCAUGAGGCACCUGAAUGCUAAAUGCAGUGAGACUGAAAUUCUGCUACGCACAAUGGGGCAGGAGAGUCCUACCAAGAGCUUUGAGAUAUCUGGAUUAGAGAUUGGCAACGUGGAAGGCAACACAUUUCUUGCAUUACCAAAGGUCUUGUCCGGAGCGUCUUGGUUAAGACCAAGACCAAUAUCUUACAGAGACCUAUCAAUAAACUCUGUCUGCUCCUGGAGGCAGCGUAGUGAGACACACACACACACACAUACACACACAGUGCUCCAUCUUUGAAUCACGUGCACCUCUGAUUCGUUGAUGUUGUACUCUUACAUUCUUUGAUGUCGUAGUCAUACAUUUUUUGGACGUCAUACUCUUGACAUUUAACACCUGAACACUUCAACUCAGACUGAGAUCUACGGACUAUUUUCCUAUAUGGCACCUUGUAUAUUUGUAUAUAGCUAUGAACUGUAAUAGUGCUCUGGUAUAGAAUGUUUUGUGUAUUGGCUCUACGGUUGAAUAUUAAGUAAUUGUUGUCCAUUCAGUGCAGUCAACAAUUAGGGGCCGGUAUGUUAGAGCCUAUUUGGACAUAUUUGUAUAAAAGACAGAACAUUCAGAGCUCCAUGUAUAUUUGUGUAAAUAUGAAUGUAUAUGAUGAAAUAUUAGGUACGUACCUUUAUGAUUUAUAUUUACCUGUUUGAGAUGUAUUCAUUUGUUGUUAGUGUAACUUAGUUUUGUCCCCCCCCUCUUGCCCAUUCAUUGUACUGCAGUAAGUGUGUUAG